ACUGCUGGGAAACAGGCAGUGAGUGGAAGCAGCAGCAGCUCUGGAGACAGCCCCAGCGGAGACAACACUCUACCUGGACAUUUUAUUUGCUGUAAUGUUCUUACGAGUUGCAAGCCUGGUCCACUUUUUACUUCACAACUAAUGUGGAAGAGAACACAUCUGAUUCCAAGGAGAGGAGACUCAUCUCUUGUCCUCAAUAACAAAUGAGGAAUCUGAAGAGCUUGUUUUAAACAAUUUUGGUGGUCUUACAACCCACUGGCAUAGAAUCUCGAGUGUACUUCUUUCUAUUCACCAUGCCACCUACUUCUACUGCAGACAUGAAAUUAAUCAAGAUCACGUAGAAAUCCAUUGGCUUGGGAGGACAGAACAAUCUUAUUCAUAGAAACAUGAUGUUACUUUAUUAGUAAACAAAUUCAGUAUAAA
rnacentral:lncRNA from 1 species